UGAAGGUUGAGUAACAUCAACUGGAGGACCGAACCGACUAAUGUUGAAAAAUUAGCGGAUGACUUGUGGCUAGGGGUGAAAGGCCAAUCAAACCUGGAGAUAGCUGGUUCUCCCCGAAAGCUAUUUAGGUAGCGCCUCGGACGAAUACUACUGGGGGUAGAGCACUGUUAAGGCUAGGGGGUCAUCCCGACUUACCAACCCUUUGCAA
rnacentral:rRNA from 1 species